UGGUGCGAUCAUACCAGCACUAAUGAACCGGAUCCCAUAAGAACUCCGCAGUUUAGCGUGCUUAGGCGAGAGUAGUACUAGGAUGGGUAUCCUCCUGGGAAGACCUCGUGUUGCACCUC
rnacentral:rRNA from 2 species